CAGCUUUUAAAAGGCGGCGUAAGCUGUCGCUAUGGGAUGGCCCCGCGGUGCAUUAGCUAGUUGGUAAGGUAAAGGCUUACCAAGGCGAUGAUGCAUAGCCGAGUUGAGAGACUGAUCGGCCACAUUGGGACUGAGACACGGCCCAAACUCCUACGGGAGGCAGCAGUAGGGAAUCUUCCACAAUGGACGCAAGUCUGAUGGAGCAACGCCGCGUGAGUGAAGAAGGUUUUCGGAUCGUAAAGCUCUGUUGUUGGUGAAGAAGGAUAGAGGUAGUAACUGGCCUUUAUUUGACGGUAAUCAACCAGAAAGUCACGGCUAACUACGUGCCAGCAGCCGCGGUAAUACGUAGGUGGCAAGCGUUGUCCGGAUUUAUUGGGCGUAAAGCGAGCG
rnacentral:rRNA from 1 species